AUUUAAGCGUUAAAGUGCAUCUGGUGGAUGCCUUGGCGAUCAGAGGCGAUGAAGGACGUGGUACGCUGCGAUAAGCUCCGGGGAGUUGCGAACAAACUUUGAUCCGGGGAUUUCCGAAUGGGGAAACCCACCACAUAUGUGGUAUCCCUUGCUGAAUACAUAGGCAAGGCGAAGCGAACCUGGGGAAGUGAAACAUCUCAGUACCCAGAGGAAAAGACAUCAACCGAGAUUCCCUUAGUAGUGGCGAGCGAACGGGGAACAGCCCAGUAGUUGUUUUGUAAGAACUAACAGUGAUUGGAAACUCACGCCAUAGACGGUGAUAGCCCGGUAUAGGUAGAAAGCAGAACAGCUCUUGAGUAGGGCGGGACACGUGAAAUCCUGUCUGAAUAUGGGGGGACCAUCCUCCAAGGCUAAAUACUCCUGAUCGACCGAUAGUGCACAGUACUGUGAAGGAAAGGUGAAAAGCACCCCAAAUGGGGAGUGAAAAAGACCUGAAACCGGAUGCAUACAAACAGUAGGAGCGGACUUGUUCCGUGACUGCGUACCUUUUGUAUAAUGGGUCCGCGAGUUAGUCUUGCAUGCAAGCUUAAGCCGUUAGGUGGAGGCGUAGGGAAACCGAGUCUGAAUAGGGCGACUAGUAUGCAGGAUUAGAUCCGAAGCCCGGUGAUCUAGCCAUGACCAGGUUGAAGUUGCGGUAACACGCAAUGGAGGACCGAACCGAUAAGUGUUGAAAAACUUCCGGAUGAGUUGUGGUUAGGGGUGAAAGGCCAAUCAAACCGGGUAAUUGCUGAUUCUCCGCGAAAACUAUUUAGGUAGUGCGUCGUGUCUUACCUUCGGGGGUAGAGCACUGGAUGGGCUAGGGGGGCGCAAGCCUUACCAAACCCAACCAAACUCCGAAUACCGAAGAGUACAAUCACGGCAGACAGACAGUAGGUGCUAACGUCUAUUGUCAAGAGGGAAACAACCCAGACCACCAGCUAAGGUCCCCAAAUAAUGACUAAGUGUAAAAGGAAGUUGGACUUCCAUAACAACCAGGAAGUUGGCUUAGAAGCAGCCAUCUUUUAAAGAAAGCGUAAUAGCUCACUGGUCUAAUUAAGAGGUCCGGCGCCGAAGAUGUAACGGGGCUAAAGUCAUUUACCGAAGCUGUGGAUGCUACGGCAUGGUAGCGGAGCGUUGUGUAAGCCUGUGAAGGUUCAUCGUGAGGUGGACUGGAGGUAUCACAAGUGAGAAUGCGGACAUGAGUAACGAUAAAAAGUGUGAGAAACACUUUCGCCGAAAAUCCAAGGGUUCCUGUCCAAGGCUAAUCCGGGCAGGGUGAGGCGGCCCCUAAGGCGAGGCUGAAAAGCGUAGUCGAUGGGAAUCAGGUUAAUAUUCCUGAGCCUGCUGGAAGUGACGGUGGCCGGAAUCUGUAUCUCCUAAUUGGAUUGGAGGUGCAGGCUAGGACAUCCAGGAAAUAACUCCAGCGUAUAGACCGUACCCUAAACCGACACAGGUGGAUUGGUAGAGAAUACUAAGGCGAUUGAGAGAACGGUGUUGAAGGAACUCGGCAAAUUGCAUGCGUAACUUCGGGAGAAGCAUGCCCUGUCAGAAGGCAACUUUUGGCAGGGGGCACAAACUAGGGGGUAGCGACUGUUUACCAAAAACACAGGGCUCUGCGAAAUCGAAAGAUGACGUAUAGGGUCUGACGCCUGCCCGGUGCCGGAAGGUUAAGAGGAGAUGUUAACGCAUUGAAUCGAAGCCCCGGUAAACGGCGGCCGUAACUAUAACGGUCCUAAGGUAGCGAAAUUCCUUGUCGGGUAAGUUCCGACCUGCACGAAUGGCGUAACGACUUCCCCGCUGUCUCCAACACCGACUCAGUGAAAUUGGAUUCCCCGUGAAGAUACGGGGUUCCCGCGGUCAGACGGAAAGACCCUAUGAACCUUUACUAUAACUUUGCAGUGGCAUUACGAUUGUCAUGUGUAGGAUAGGUGGGAGGCUUUGAAGCCGGGACGCUAGUUUCGGUGGAGCCAACCUUGAAAUACCACCCUUGACCUUCGUGAUGUCUAACCAAGCUCCGUUAUCCGGAGUUGGGACCCUGCAUGGCGGGUAGUUUGACUGGGGCGGUCGCCUCCCAAAGUGUAACGGAGGCGCGCGAUGGUAAGCUCAAGACGGUCGGAAAUCGUCUUCAAGAGUGCAAUGGCAUAAGCUUGCCUGACUGUGAGACUGACAAGUCGAACAGAGCCGAAAGGCGGUCAUAGUGAUCCGGUGGUUCCGCAUGGAAGGGCCAUCGCUCAACGGAUAAAAGGUACUCUAGGGAUAACAGGCUAAUAGCGCCCAAGCGUCCCCAGCGACGGCGCUGUUUGGCACCUCGAUGUCGGCUCAUCUCAUCCUGGGGCUGUAGUAGGUCCCAAGGGUAUGGCUGUUCGCCAUUUAAAGAGGUACGUGAGCUGGGUUCAAAACGUCGUGAGACAGUUUGGUCCCUAUCUGCCGUGGGUGUUGGAUACUUGAGAGGAUCUGUCCUUAGUACGAGAGGACCGGGAUGGACAUACCUCUGGUGUAUCGGUUGUUCCGCCAGGAGCAGUGCCGAGUAGCUAAGUAUGGAAGGGAUAAACGCUGAAAGCAUCUAAGCGUGAAACCCGCCUCAAAACAAGGUAUCCCUAUCAGAGCCGUGGAAGACCACCACGUUGAUAGGCCAGGUGUGGAAGCGCAGUAAUGCGUGCAGCUAACUGGUACUAAUUGCUCGAUUGGCUUAAAUUC
rnacentral:rRNA from 1 species